AUAGUACUCCCUCCGUCCGAAAAUACUUGUCAUCAAAAUGAAUAAAAAUGGAUGUAUCUAUAACUAAAAUACAUCUAGAUACAUUUAUUUCAAUGACAAGUAUUUUCGAACAGAGGGAGUAUACG
rfam:Triticum aestivum genome assembly, contig: Triticum_aestivum_CS42_TGACv1_scaffold_030714_1BL